AGGUUAAGUUAAUAAGGGCGCACGGUGGAUGCCUUGGCACUAGAAGCCGAAGAAGGACGUGACUAACGACGAAAUGCUUUGGGGAGCUGUAAGUAAGCGCUGAUCCAGAGAUGUCCGAAUGGGGGAACCCACUAGCUACUGGCUAGUAUCCAUAACUGUUAAGGUUAUGAGAAGGAAGACGCAGUGAACUGAAACAUCUAAGUAGCUGCAGGAAGAGAAAGCAAACGCGAUUGCCUUAGUAGCGGCGAGCGAAACGGCAGGAGGGCAAACCGAGAAGUUUACUUCUCGGGGUUGUAGGACUGCGACGUGGGACUUUAAAAUGAUAGAAGAAUUACCUGGGAAGGUAAGCCAAAGAGAGUAAUAGCCUCGUAUUUAAAAUUAUUUUGAGCCCUAGCAGUAUCCUGAGUACGGCGAGACACGCGAAAUCUCGUCGGAAUCUGGGAGGACCAUCUCCCAACCCUAAAUACUCUCUAGUGACCGAUAGUGAACCAGUACCGUGAGGGAAAGGUGAAAAGCACCCCGGGAGGGGAGUGAAAUAGAACCUGAAACCGUGUGCCUACAACAAGUUCGAGCCCGUUAAUGGGUGAGAGCGUGCCUUUUGUAGAAUGAACCGGCGAGUUACGAUAUGAUGCGAGGUUAAGUUGAAGAGACGGAGCCGCAGGGAAACCGAGUCUUAAUAGGGCGACUUAGUAUCAUGUUGUAGACCCGAAACCAUGUGACCUACCCAUGAGCAGGUUGAAGGUGCGGUAAGACGCACUGGAGGACCGAACCAGGGCACGUUGAAAAGUGCUUGGAUGACUUGUGGGUAGCGGAGAAAUUCCAAACGAACUUGGAGAUAGCUGGUUCUCUCCGAAAUAGCUUUAGGGCUAGCGUCGAUGUUAAGUCUCUUGGAGGUAGAGCACUGUUUGGGUGAGGGGUCCAUCUCGGAUUACCAAUCUCAGAUAAACUCCGAAUGCCAACGAGAUAUCAUCGGCAGUCAGACUGCGAGUGCUAAGAUCCGUAGUCGAAAGGGAAACAGCCCAGACCACCAGCUAAGGUCCCAAAAUAUAUGUUAAGUGGAAAAGGAUGUGGGGUUGCACAGACAACUAGGAUGUUAGCUUAGAAGCAGCUAUUCAUUCAAAGAGUGCGUAAUAGCUCACUAGUCGAGUGACCCUGCGCCGAAAAUGUACCGGGGCUAAAACAUAUUACCGAAGCUGUGGAUGACACGUUAGUGUCAUGGUAGGAGAGCGUUCUAUGUGUGAAGAAGGUGUACCGUGAGGAGCGCUGGAACGCAUAGAAGUGAGAAUGCCGGUAUGAGUAGCGAAAGACAGGUGAGAAUCCUGUCCACCGUAAGACUAAGGUUUCCAGGGGAAGGCUCGUCCGCCCUGGGUUAGUCGGGACCUAAGGAGAGACCGAAAGGUGUAUCCGAUGGCCAACAGGUUGAUAUUCCUGUACUAGAGUAUAAAGUGAUGGAGGGACGCAGUAGGCUAACUAAAGCAGGCGAUUGGAAGAGCCUGUCUAAGCAGUGAGGUGUAAGAUGAGUCAAAUGCUUAUCUUUAUAACAUUGAGCUGUGAUGGGGAGCGAAGUUAAGUAGCGAAGUUAGUGACGUCACACUGCCAAGAAAAGCUUCUAGCGUUUAAUUAUACUCUACCCGUACCGCAAACCGACACAGGUAGUCGAGGCGAGUAGCCUCAGGUGAUCGAGAGAACUCUCGUUAAGGAACUCGGCAAAAUGACCCCGUAACUUCGGGAGAAGGGGUGCUGACUUAGGUCAGCCGCAGUGAAUAGGCCCAAGCAACUGUUUAUCAAAAACACAGCUCUCUGCUAAAUCGUAAGAUGAUGUAUAGGGGGUGACGCCUGCCCGGUGCUGGAAGGUUAAGAGGAGGGUUUAGCGUAAGCGAAGAUCUGAAUUGAAGCCCC
rnacentral:rRNA from 1 species